GUGGGGGUAGCUCAGUGGUUUAGCACUUACCUAGCACGUGUGAGGCCCUGCGUUCAAGCCUCAGCACCACACA
rnacentral:tRNA from 1 species